rnacentral:rRNA from 1 species
GAUGAACGCUGGCGGUGUGCCUAAUACAUGCGAGUCGAGCGGACGGACGAGAAGCUUGCUUCUCUGAUGUUAGCGGCGGGCGUGUGAGUAACACGUGGAUAACCCACCUAUAAGACUGGGAUAACUUCGGGAAACCGGAGCUAAUACCGGAUAAUAUUUUCAACCGCAUGGUUCAAAAGUGAAAGACGGUCUGGCUGUCACUUAUAGAUGGAUCCGCGCUGCAUUAGCUAGUUGGUAAGGUAACGGCUUACCAAGGCAACGAUGCAUAGCCGACCUGAGAGGGUGAUCGGCCACACUGGACCUGAGACACGGUCCAGACUCCUACGGGAGGCAGCAGUAGGGAAUCUUCCGCAAUGGGCGAAAGCCUGACGGAGCAACGCCGCGUGAGUGAUGAAGGUCUUCGGAUCGUAAAACUCUGUUAUUAGGGAAGAACAUAUGUGUAAGUAACUGUGCACAUCUUGACGGUACCUAAUCAGAAAGCCACGGCUAACUACGUG